ACAUUUUGUCAAAUCAUAUUUCGUUCGAAAAAUUUGAAUCAUAAUAAUAAUUAAUUAUUUUCCAUAUGUUUUCAUUAAAACUUUUCAAGUUUAGUGUUUUAUUAUUUUAUUUGACUUUAUAUACAAAGGCUGAAAAUGUUACAAAUAAACAAAUAGAUCAGUUAGAUAAGUUAUUAAUAUAUUCAGGAUGGCAAAAUUUAAAUGUUGUGAACUUCAUAAAAUAUAAAAAUAAAACAUAUUAUCUUGAAAAUUUAAUUGAAAUACCUUCACAUCGAUCUCUAUUUAUGGUAAAGGUACGAGCUUUGACUAUAUAUCUUGGAUGCACAUAUGCAAAAGUUAUGAAUACUAUAUUUUCAAUUAUUAUUAACUCCCUACAAAUUUAUACAAAAAAUAAAGAAAGAAAAAUCUUAAAAAACAAUGUUUGCAUUUGUACCGAAGGAUUCAUAAAAAUAAUAACUAUAUUAAUUGUUCCAUUAGCAACAUUGAUGAAAGGUGCCAUGAAUGCUUUACAUUCAAUACAUAGUGUAUCAUCGGCUGAUUUUAAAGAAGAAAGCUACGAUGACUACAUAAUUAGUCCUUUGUUGGGGAGAAUAGGUGAUAUUUUUGACAAAUUAAACGAUCGAACUCUAUCCCGUGAUGAUAUGUCUACAUAUUCGUCGGCAUUUAAAACUAUAUAUAAAUACUCAGAAAUCCUAUUAAAAGAUUUAAAAAACGAAACUGAUUCAUAUUGUGUAUUUGUACCUCAUAAUCAGUAUUAUUUAUGGAAUCAAUGGGUUCUACAAUAUAAAGCCAUCAUUCAACGGGGCGAAAAAUUGAAAUUUUUAAAGUUCAUAACACGAAAAUUUAAAGAUUAUAUAAAGUCAGUAAUUAUAGAAAAUUAUUUUCAACUAGGAUUUAAAUUUGAUCCAAUUACUGAAGAAACAUUUGUACCAUCAACAAAGGAACCAAUUAUACAAGAAUUGGAACUUAAAGGGACAGAUGAAGAGCCUCCAACGCUAUUAGAAAUAGAAACUCAUUAAAUGUUGUAAUAAAAUUAAUUUUUUUCUUCAUUAUUGUUAUAUAAUUAAUCACAAUUUACUUUAUAACUUAGUAAUUCUUUAAAUUAUUAUUAAAAUAUAAACAUGAAUAAUGUAUCCUACAAUUAUUUGUUAGUUGUACACACAAGUUUAAUAUACCACAGUUAUGUAUAAUAAUAUUAAUAACUUCUGGAAUCUUGAUUCAAAAUCACCUCUAAUUUUAGAUUCGAUACGAAGCUGAGAAGGUAUUUACUUUACUAUAAUGUAUUUUUUUUUUUUUUUGUAUGUCUGGUACCACUUUUCUCAGCUCUAACAGAAUCGAUUUCUUUCGACAGAUUGUUGAAAGAUCACAAAUCUUAUCUAAUUGGAGAUUUGAGCGACGAAACCCUAACGUGUCUGUCAACGUGUACGACUUGGAACGAGACGACGUUAAGAUGAAGUGGUUGGUGUAUCCUCUAAGAGUCGCCGACCAAGAGCAACAGAAUCAUUUUGACCUGUUGUACAUCGGUGACUCUGACAAGUAUCAUUACGCGUACAUUUCUGAUUUUUCGAGGCUUGUACGCAGCCAAAAAACUAAUCACAAAUGCCGCAUAUACACUUGCAAACGUUGCUUCACCAGCUUUGAUUAUAUGCCUAAAAAGUAUAUUCUUCGGGGUCAACAAGCGUUGGAGCAACACAAGUUGAUAUGCGGCAAGAACAAACCUAUUUUACCCGUUAUGCCGGCAGAGGGCAGUAAGGUCGAAUUUGACGCGUGGGUAAAGACGCAACGGUUACCGUUUGUCAUCUACGCCGAUUUUGAAGCCUUACUGGAGAAAACAGACGAUCGUAUGGGUGCCUAUACUAGGACUGUGCACAUCCACCAUCCCAUGAGCUAUGGGUUCAUGGUGAAAACAUCGGACGAUGUGCCCUCCGAGCUCCUCGAACGCUAUGGUAUACCACAAUCACCGGUGAUAUACCGUGGGUCCAAGGAUCACGAAGAGGUCGCCAAGGCAUUUGCGAUGGCUGUAACUGAAGUGACGCGCAACAAUUCUAAAUUGUUGCGCAAAACCAACGUUCCCAUCCGAAUGUUUGUCGAUGAUGUGCGCAGGCACGAGGAGAAAGUGGUAUGCGACUUGUGCCGUACAGCAUUUAAGGAUUCCAACCCCAAAGUCGCAGACCACUGUCAUUUAUGGGGCCGAUUCAGACAGACGUUGUGCAAUGCAUGUAACCUGAAAGUGAAGACGGUCAACUUUGUGCCGUGCUUCUUGCACAAUCUUUCAGGUUACGACGCUCAUUUCAUAGUCACUGAAUUGGGGUACGACGACCAAAGGAUUUCGGUCAUACCAAAUUCUGAGGAGAAGUAUAUUUCGGUCACAAAACACGUGACCAAUAACUUCUCCAUACGGUUCGUCGAUACCUUCCGGUUCAUGGCCUACUCCCUGUCCACCUUGGCCGGUAACCUAAUGACGCCCGACUUCGUUAAAUUCCGGGAGACGGCCAAGGUGUUCCGCCCGGAAGACAUGCCGUUGGUGACGCGUAAGGGCGUAUACCCCUACGAGUACACUGAUAGUUGGGCUAAAUUGGAAGAAACGGAACUACCACCUCAGGACGCUUUCUAUAGUCAGUUGAGUGAGUCUAAUAUUGAUGACGACGACUAUAGACAUGCCACGGAGGUGUGGAACCGUUUCGACUGCUCAACCCUCGGUGAGUACAGCGACCUAUAUCUUAAGAUCGACGUGUUGUUGUUGGCUGAUGUGUUUGAGAACUUCCGCGACAUCUGUAUUUCAACAUACAAUUUGGACCCGGCGCACUAUUACACCGCGCCUGGUUUUAGCUUCGAUUGUAUGUUGAAAUACACCAGGAUGAAGCUGGAGCUCUUGAACGACUACGACAUGCUACUGAUGGUGGAACAGGGCAUUCGUGGUGGGCUAGUGCAGGCCGUCAAGCACUAUGCAAAGGCCAACAAUUCUAAGACACCCGAUUACGAUCCGUCAAAACCAGAAUCAUGGAUCGUGUACCAAGACUGCAAUAACCUUUACGGGUGGGCUAUGAGUCAGCCCAUGCCGUACGGUGGCUUCCGGUGGUAUAAAGGAGCAGACCCUCUGGCUGACCUCCAAUCGUUGUCGGACACUGGUAAUACGGGGCGUAUAUAUGAAGUGGACGUAUCGUAUCCACAAGAGCUGCAUGACGAGCACAACGACUUGCCGUUCUUGCCUGUCAACGAUGUACCGCCGGGUUCCAAAGAGACCAAACUCAUGGCCACUUUGAAACCCAAACAGCGGUACGUCGUACAUUACGUUAAUCUUAAACAGGCGAUCGCACACGGACUGCAAGUCGAUAAAGUGCACCGCGUUUUAGAGUUUCAACAAAGUGCUUGGUUGAAACCAUACAUUGAGUUGAACACUGAAAUGCGGAAAAAGGCGGCAAAUGCUUUUGAAAUUGCAUUUUUCAAACUAAUGAACAAUGCCGUCUUUGGGAAAACAAUGGAGAACAAGCUAAUCUCCAGUCCCGAACGUCUAAACAAGCUCGUAAAUCAACCAACCUUCAGCGACUGUAUCAAAUACGGUGAAAGAUUGUGCGCCGUCAUAAUGACACAAAGAUGGUCAAGUUUAUCAAACCAAUAUACGUCGGUUUAGCAGUGCUUGACAUUAGCAAGACGCUAAUGUACAAGUACUUCUACGACGUAUUGAAACCACAUUAUGGCAGUGCAAUCGAAUUGGUUUACAUGGAUACUGACUCCUUCAUAUACCUGCUCAGAGUAGGCGACUUCUACCAGGAUUUAGCUGGUAGCCCCGAUUUACUGGUGCACGUGGACGCAUCUAGCCUGCCCAAGGAUCACCCUUGCUACUCCACCGAUAGAAAGAAGAUGCCCGGCUUGUUUUCAG